rnacentral:rRNA from 1 species
CUGAAACCGUGUACGUACAAGCAGUGGGAGCACGCUUAGGCGUGUGACUGCGUACCUUUUGUAUAAUGGGUCAGCGACUUAUAUUCUGUAGCAAGGUUAACCGAAUAGGGGAGCCGAAGGGAAACCGAGUCUUAACUGGGCGUUAAGUUGCAGGGUAUAGACCCGAAACCCGGUGAUCUAGCCAUGGGCAGGUUGAAGGUUGGGUAACACUAACUGGAGGACCGAACCGACUAAUGUUGAAAAAUUAGCGGAUGACUUGUGGCUGGGGGUGAAAGGCCAAUCAAACCGGGAGAUAGCUGGUUCUCCCCGAAAGCUAUUUAGGUAGCGCCUCGUGAAUUCAUCUCCGGGGGUAGAGCACUGUUUCGGCAAGGGGGUCAUCCCGACUUACCAACCCGAUGCAAACUGCGAAUACCGGAGAAUGUUAUCACGGGAGACACACGGCGGGUGCUAACGUCCGUCGUGAAGAGGGAAACAACCCAGACCGCCAGCUAAGGUCCCAAAGUCAUGGUUAAGUGGGAAACGAUGUGGGAAGGCCCAGACAGCCAGGAUGUUGGCUUAGAAGCAGCCAUCAUUUAAAGAAAGCGUAAUAGCUCACUGGUCGAGUCGGCCUGCGCGGAAGAUGUAACGGGGCUAAACCAUGCACCGAAGCUGCGGCAGCGACGCUUAUGCGUUGUUGGGUAGGGGAGCGUUCUGUAAGCCUGCGAAGGUGUGCUGUGAGGCAUGCUGGAGGUAUCAGAAGUGCGAAUGCUGACAUAAGUAACGAUAAAGCGGGUGAAAAGCCCGCUCGCCGGAAGACCAAGGGUUCCUGUCCAACGUUAAUCGGGGCAGGGUGAGUCGACCCCUAAGGCGAGGCCGAAAGGCGUAGUCGAUGGGAAACAGGUUAAUAUUCCUGUACUUGGUGUUACUGCGAAGGGGGGACGGAGAAGGCUAUGUUGGCCGGGCGACGGUUGUCCCGGUUUAAGCGUGUAGGCUGGUUUUCCAGGCAAAUCCGGAAAAUCAAGGCUGAGGCGUGAUGACGAGGCACUACGGUGCUGAAGCAACAAAUGCCAUGCUUCCAGGAAAAGCCUCUAAGCAUCAGGUAACAUCAAAUCGUACCCCAAACCGACACAGGUGGUCAGGUAGAGAAUACCAAGGCGCUUGAGAGAACUCGGGUGAAGGAACUAGGCAAAAUGGUGCCGUAACUUCGGGAGAAGGCACGCUGAUAUGUAGGUGAAGCGACUUGCUCGUGGAGCUGAAAUCAGUCGAAGAUACCAGCUGGCUGCAACUGUUUAUUAAAAACACAGCACUGUGCAAACACGAAAGUGGACGUAUACGGUGUGACGCCUGCCCGGUGCCGGAAGGUUAAUUGAUGGGGUCAGCGCAAGCGAAGCUCUUGAUCGAAGCCCCGGUAAACGGCGGCCGUAACUAUAACGGUCCUAAGGUAGCGAAAUUCCUUGUCGGGUAAGUUCCGACCUGCACGAAUGGCGUAAUGAUGGCCAGGCUGUCUCCACCCGAGACUCAGUGAAAUUGAACUCGCUGUGAAGAUGCAGUGUACCCGCGGCAAGACGGAAAGACCCCGUGAACCUUUACUAUAGCUUGACACUGAACAUUGAGCCUUGAUGUGUAGGAUAGGUGGGAGGCUUUGAAGUGUGGACGCCAGUCUGCAUGGAGCCGACCUUGAAAUACCACCCUUUAAUGUUUGAUGUUCUAACGUUGACCCGUAAUCCGGGUUGCGGACAGUGUCUGGUGGGUAGUUUGACUGGGGCGGUCUCCUCCUAAAGAGUAACGGAGGAGCACGAAGGUUGGCUAAUCCUGGUCGGACAUCAGGAGGUUAGUGCAAUGGCAUAAGCCAGCUUGACUGCGAGCGUGACGGCGCGAGCAGGUGCGAAAGCAGGUCAUAGUGAUCCGGUGGUUCUGAAUGGAAGGGCCAUCGCUCAACGGAUAAAAGGUACUCCGGGGAUAACAGGCUGAUACCGCCCAAGAGUUCAUAUCGACGGCGGUGUUUGGCACCUCGAUGUCGGCUCAUCACAUCCUGGGGCUGAAGUAGGUCCCAAGGGUAUGGCUGUUCGCCAUUUAAAGUGGUACGCGAGCUGGGUUUAGAACGUCGUGAGACAGUUCGGUCCCUAUCUGCCGUGGGCGCUGGAGAACUGAGGGGGGCUGCUCCUAGUACGAGAGGACCGGAGUGGACGCAUCACUGGUGUUCGGGUUGUCAUGCCAAUGGCACUGCCCGGUAGCUAAAUGCGGAAGAGAUAAGUGCUGAAAGCAUCUAAGCACGAAACUUGCCCCGAGAUGAGUUCUCCCUGACUCCUUGAGAGUCCUGAAGGAACGUUGAAGA